rnacentral:rRNA from 1 species
ACUCCUACGGGAGGCAGCAGUGGGAAUCUUGGACAAUGGGGCAACCCGUGCAUCCAGCCAUGCCGCGUGAGUGAUGAAGGCCUUAGGGUCGUAAAGCUCUUUCGCCUGUGAAGAUAAUGACGGUAGCAGGUAAAGAAACCCGCGUACAUCCGUGCCAGCAGCCGCGGUAAUACGGAGGGGUUAGCGUUGUUCGGAAUUACUGGGCGUAAAGCGCACGUAGGCGGAUCGGAAAGUUGGGGGUGAAAUCCCGGGGCUCAACCCGCACGG